GGGCGAGUAGCCAAGUCUGGGGUAUUGCUUGGAGCUCUGAACUCCGAGGGCUGGCAGGGCUUCCGAUGUCUUUUUCCUCC
rnacentral:tRNA from 1 species